UGCGCCACCUGCGCUUAACCUGCUGUGCUACCGCCCAACUCCCAGCAGAAGCUUUCUUAAGUGCAGCGGAGUCUGGUCUCAAGUAUGGGCCGUGUGCACGGCAAAGAAGUCAUGCCCAAGGCUCUACUUCACUUGUGGGUUGCACAUGGAGUACAAUAAGACAAUAGUACAUACACUUCCAAAUUUUCAUUUCAGAGAAGAGGAAUGAGAAGCGUAGACACAUAUAACUUGCUUGGGUUCUGCACAGAUGACAAUAUAACUGAAACUCUGAGAUGAAGUGUCUUGUCACGACCACACAGUGGGUUCUUAAAGAGCUGAUCACUUGUUUCACUCCAAGGAGUAAAAGUCAUUUUCGUAGCAUCAGGCCGCUUCCCAGCAGGAGGAUGGUACCUCUCAGCUCAAAACAGCUGGUAUUAGGUUCAAGAAGAUGAAACUGAGAAAAGUGGUUUAUCUCCAGCUUUAAUCAGCAGCUCUCGGCUCACCCAGGUCGGCAAGCAGUCUGUCUCUUACUUCCUUUUCCUCCCACUUGCGGUAAAGUGGUAAUGAUAGCACAAAGGCAGCCUGCAGGGACUCAGUGACCCAGUCAUGCUGGGACUGUUGUUUCCUUUUGCUACCACCCAGCACACAUAUGCUCUGCUUAAAAAAAAAAAAUAUUAUUAAUACUAACUAUGUGCUUGGGCCCUGACAACAAAUGUGCUGGAAAUUCUAAGCAGCGUGGUGCUGAGUAAAAUGGUUGCUACAGGUGAUCAUCAGGAUGGAGAAUGGCAGAAGGAGAGAAUGUGAGCUCACACAUUCAAACAAACAUUAAAUAUUAAAUACCGGA